rnacentral:rRNA from 1 species
CCUACGUGUGGCAGCAGUGGGGAUUAUUGGGCAAUGGAGGAAACUCUGACCCAGCAAUGCCGCGUGAAUGAAGAAGGUCUUCGGAUUGUACAGUUCUUUAGUCAGGGAAGAAGUCAAUGACGGUACCUGAAGAAUAAUCUCCGGCUAACUACGUGCCAGCAGCCGCGGUAAUACGUAGGGAGCAAGCGUUGUUCGGAAUGACUGGGCGUAAAGGGUGCGUAGGCGGUUGUACAAGUUAGAAGUGAAAUACCCAGGGCUUAACUCGGGUGCUGCUUCUAAAACUGUAUGACUUGAGUGCAGUAGAGGUUAGUGGAAUUCCUGGUGUAGCGGUGGAAUGCGUAGAUAUUAGGAGGAACACCAGAGGCGAAGGCGGCUAACUGGACUGAAACUGACGCUGAGGCACGAAAGUGUGGGGAGCAAACAGGAUUAGAUACCCGGGUAGUC